rnacentral:rRNA from 1 species
GAUGCCUACGGGGCGCAGCAGUGAGGGAUAUUGGGCAAUGGGGGAAACCCUGACCCAGCGACGCCGCGUGAGGGAAGACGGUCUUCGGAUUGUAAACCUCUGUCUUUGGGGACGAAAAAGGACGGUACCCAAGGAGGAAGCUCCGGCUAACUACGUGCCAGCAGCCGCGGUAAUACGUAGGGGGCAAGCGUUAUCCGGAUUUACUGGGUGUAAAGGGAGCGUAGACGGAAAGGCAAGUCAGAAGUGAAAGCCCAAGGCUCAACCAUGGGACUGCUUUUGAAACUGUCGAACUAGAGUACGGGAGA